rnacentral:rRNA from 1 species
AUUGAACGCUGGCGGCAUGCCUUACACAUGCAAGUCGAACGGUAACAGGUCUUCGGAUGCUGACGAGUGGCGAACGGGUGAGUAAUACAUCGGAACGUGCCUAGUAGUGGGGGAUAACUACUCGAAAGAGUGGCUAAUACCGCAUGAGACCUACGGAUGAAAGCAGGGAAUCGCAAGACCUUGUGCUACUAGAGCGGCCGAUGGCAGAUUAGGUAGUUGGUGGGAUAAAAGCUUACCAAGCCGACGAUCUGUAGCUGGUCUGAGAGGACGAUCAGCCACACUGGGACUGAGAAACGGCCCAGACUCCUACGGGAGGCAGCAGUGGGGAAUUUUGGACAAUGGGCGAAAGCCUGAUCCAGCAAUGCCGCGUGCAGGAUGAAGGCCUUCGGGUUGUAAACUGCUUUUGUACGGAACGAAAAGCCCCGGGUUAAUACCCUGGGGUCAUGACGGUACCGUAAGAAUAAGCACCGGCUAACUACGUGCCAGCAGCCGCCGCCG